CUAAAAUAAAAAUUUGAAUAUUAAGUCACUUUAUUUAAUAGAAGGAAAAUUAUGAUUGUUGAGAAAGUUAAUAUAAAUUAAUGCAAUUAGAAGCAUUCUUUAGCACAUAUGCGAGAUAUUUUACUGCAACCCAGCCUGAAUCUAACAUUAAAUUCCACAACUACAGAUAAAUAGAAAAAUCAUGCCUACUAUCAGAUAAAAAAAUGGCUAAGUGACUAAAUUAGUAAGUUUUAAACUAUAAAAUCCCAUUUAUUAUCAAGUCUUUUUUUUUUUUUUUUUUUCAGACAGUCUCACUCUGUUGCCCAGGCUGGAGUGCAGAGGCGUGAUCCCGGCUCACUGCAACCUCUGCCUUCUGGGUUCAAGUGAUUCUCCUCUUUCAGCCUCCUGAGUAUCUGGGAUUAUAGGCACGUGACACCACGCCCGGCUAAUUUUUUUGUAUUUUUAAUAGAGACGGGAUUUCGCCGUGUUAGCCAGGCUGGUCUCAAACUCCCGACCUCAGGUGAUCUGCCCGCCUCGGCCUCCCAAAGUGCUGGGAUUACAGGCGUGAGCCACUGCGCCCGGCUAUUAUCAGGUCUUUUAAAACAUGUUUUUCCUCUGGGUUGGUGCUACUAAAUGAAUAGCUGACUUUUCAUGGGCUCUUAAAUUUUUUACAUUAUGUUCUUGGAUUUUAUUAUUGAGCCAAGAAGGCAUCUGUUUCAACAGGAAAUUGCAAGGGGAAAAAAAUUUUUUUUAAAAAAGUAAUCUCUUAGUCUUACUUGCCAAUAAAGAAAACUUUCAGCUGUGCACGGUGGCUCACACCUGUAAUACCAACACUUUGGGAGGCCGAGGUGGGCAGAUCACCUGAGGUCGGGAGUUCGAGACCAGCCUGACCAACAUGGAGAAACCCCCAUCUCUACUAAAAAUACAAAAUUAGUCGGGCGUGGUGGCGCAUGCCUGUAAUCCCAGCUACUCGGGAGGCUGAGGCAGGAGAAUCGCCUCAGAACCUGGGAGGCAGAGGUUGUGGUGAGUUGAGAUUGCGCCAUUGCACUCCAGCCUGGGCAAUGUAAGAGUGAAAUUCCCUCUCAAAAAACUUACUGGGCAUGUAGCCUUUUUUUUUUUUUGAGAUGGAGUUUCGCUCUUAUUGCCCAGGCUGGAGUGCAAUGAUGUGAUCUUGGCUCACCACAACCUCCGCCUCCCAGGUUUAAGCAAUUCUCCUGCCUCAGCCUUCUGAGUAGCUGGGAUUACAGGCACCUGCCACCACGCCCAGCUAGUUUUUUUUGUAUUUUUAGUAGAGACGGAGUUUCGCCAUGUCAGCCAGGCUGGUCUCAAAUUCCUGACCUCGGGUGAUUCGCCUGCCUCAGCCUCCCAAAGUGCUGGGAUUACAGGUGUGAGCCACCAUGUCUAGCCACAUGUAGCUUUUUUUUUUUUUUUCAAUGAACCAUGAAUAGAAGAAAAUUGAUGAACAGGCUCAAAUUAAUUUUUUUUUUUGGCAUUCUCAGAAAUACUUUACCUUGGCUAUGCUAGAUAUACACUGCAGGAUUUUGUUUUCACAGCAGAUUUUCUAAAAAUCUGUGGUAUGGACCAGGCAUGGUGGCUCGUGCCUUUAAUCCCAGCACUUUGAGAGGCAGAGGCAGGUAGAUCACCAGAGGUCAGGAGGUCAAGACCGGCCUGACCAACAUGGCGAAACCCUGUCUCUACUACAAAUACAAAAUUAGCCAGGUGUGGUGGUGGCCACCUGUAAUCCCAGCUACUUGGGAGGCUGAGGCAGGAGAAUCACUUGAACCCAGGAGGUGGAGGCUGCAGUGAGCUGAGAUCACACCAUUGCGUUCCAGCCUGGGCAACAAGAGUGAAACUCCGUCUCAAAAAAAUUAAAUUAAAAUUAAACUGUAUAGUGUUUCUCAGUUGCAUCUAAGCAGCUUAAAAAUAGCUGGUGUUUUUCAUGCUAUUGAAAAGUGAUCAUGAUAUUUCCCCCUCUUUUUUGAACAUUUAGAAAUGAGCAGGUUCUCACUAGUUGUAAUGUUUUAAAACUGAGACUAAAUAACAGAGAAGUAACGAUAGGAAGGAUGAAAAACAAAUCAUACAAAGCAUAAAACUGGGGCCAGGGGGCUUCUGUGCAGCACAGAAUUGCUAAAAGAAACAGAUGCUUCCCAACAAUUAAAAGUUGAGUAUUCCUUAUCCAAAAUGCUUGGGACCAGAAAUGUUUCAGGUUUUGGAUUUUUUUUUUUUUUUUUUUUUUUUUUUUUUUUCAGAUUUGGGGAUAUUUGCAUAUACAUAAUGAGAUAUCUUGGGGAUGGGACCCAAGUCAAAAUUCAUUUGUGUUUCAUAUACAUCUUAUACAGAUAGCACAAAUAUUUUACACAAUAUUUUAAAUAAUUUUGUGCAUGGAAAAGUUUUUGUACAUUAUACCAGAUGUGGAAUUUUCCACUUGUGGCAUCAUGUUGGCCCUCAAUAAAGUUUCAAAUUUUGGAGUGUUUUGGAUUUUUGGAUUAGAGAUCCAAAAAAAGCAGUCCCCAACUUAUUUCUAUAUCCAGUUAAAGAAACCAUAUUUUAAUGAGAGAACAAUUUGCCCAAUAACCUAACCCCCAAUUGUUCCUUAUUUCAUAAGUCACAGUAUGCUUUAGGGCAAAUAUUCUUAACUUUUCCUUAAAGAUGGAUAAUAAGUUUCUGCCUGUAUAAUCCUAUGUAACUAUAUAAGCAAUGCUGCAAUAUACUAGUUAUGGGAAGGUAGUGUGAUGUGAUGUAACAACAGAAGUUAACACUUGCUCAGCACUUCUUAUGUGCCAGACUGUUGAAAGAGCUUUACUAAUUCAUUUAUUUCAACCAUCCUACAGGUUAGGAGUGGUUAUUAUCUACAUUUUAACAGAUGAGAAAAUGUUAAGUAACUUGCCCAAGGUCACAAAAUUAGCGGAGCCAGGAUUUAAACCUAGGCAUAGAAAGAGCAUGAGCUUUGGAUUCAUACCUGGUGUUCAAAUGUCAACUGUGUGAUAUGUACUACGGUAAUUAAGCUUUUAGAAUCUAGUUUCCUCAUUUGUAAAAUGGAGAUGAAAUUACUGGGAGAAUUAAAUGCAUUACUGUAUGCAGUCAUGCACUUAGCAGUGCCUGGAAUACUGCAAGUACUUAAUAAGAUAUAUGCUAGUUAGCAAUAAAUUUAAAAUUAAAGUUUAUAAAUUCUUGUUCAUUUUUUUUUACCUUUAAUUCAUGAAUCAGGCACUGUGCUGGUUACAGGAACUACAAAAAGAAUGACAGGCUCUUACGUUUAUGUUAUACCAAAAGUUAGCAUUCUUGGGUAGAAAAGAACGUAGUUUAUAAUGUAGACUGCUGAGAGGUCCCCCCAGCCACACACACACAAAAUGAUUCAAAUUAUGCUGCAUACACUAUACCCAGUUCUAACAAUAUUAAGGAAAAUAUAGAAAUUGUGAUGAUCAAGCAGUCAUUUCAAAUUUAACAAGUUUAAUAGCCAUUCAAAAUAGGUUUUUUGUUUUGUUUUAUUGUUUUGAGACAGGGUUUUACUCUGUUGCCCAGGCUGGAGUGCAGUGGUGCAAUCAUAGCUCACUGCAGCCUCAAACUCCUGGGCUCAAGUGAUCCUCCUACCUCAGCUUCCCACAUCAGCCUCCAGAGUAGUUGUGACUACAGGCUCAUACCACCACGCCUGGCUAAUUUUUGUAUUUUUAGUAGAGAUGGGGCUUUGCCAUGUUGGAAAGGCUGGUCUUGAACUCCUGACCUCAAGUGAUCCUCCAGCCUCAGCCUCCCAAAGUUCUGGAAUUACAAGUGUGAACCAGCAUGCUCAGCCAAAACAAGUUUUUAAUAGAUGAAAUUGAGUCCACGUGUUUUAGUGUUUUGUCUAAAUUGGACCCUUGAGGUUUUUGUGUGUAAUCUCAUCUGAAUGGUAGGUAGCAACAUUGUUUUUCAGGUAUGUAGAUAAACAGGCUAAGUAUUAAUAAAGUGAAAUGUGUACAGUAUUAAAAAUGUAAAUUCCUCGAGGCAGCACACUAUUUAAACAUUUUGGUCUUGCUAUUAAACAUAUAGUUGUAAAUACAAAGUUCAAAGAAAACUCAAAAGAGAAUUUAAAUCAACCUUAACCACAUUUAACUAGAUUCCUUUUUCCUAUAAAGUUGUCUGUGUUUACAAUAAAAAUGUGGUCUAGAAAACAUGAAAAAUAGGGUUAAUAAUUUUCAUGAGAGGGAAGAAGUAUACAGGAAAACAACUAGGAUUAUGAAGCCCUUAAAUAAUGAAUUUUAACCAGGAAAUACUAAUAUUUUCUUGUACUUUUCUUUGAUGAGACAGUCCUUUUCCACGAAUGAUCAUAAAAAUAAAUAAUAUUGGCUAACACUUAUUGAAAACUUUCUAUAUGUUAACUCUUAAAAAUACAAUGAACGAUGUAUCAUUAUUAUCCCAAUUUUACAGAUAAGGAAGCAGGCACAGUAACUUGCUCAAGGUUAGAGUGCCAAUAAGAACAGAGUGAGGAUUCAAAAUGAGGCAACAGGGCCAGCUUCAGAAGCCCCUGACCUGUGCCGUUACACAGGGCCCUGCACUUAAGUUUGAUACCCUGCUGCCACUGUUUUGAAGUUCUUAAUUUUUUAACAAGGAACCCUGCAUUUUAAUUUGGAUUACCACAGAUUACGUAGCCAGUCCUGCUAGGUAGUAUGACUUCAGACUCUGCUCUUAACCAUUACACUGAAGAUGCACUAGAGUAGAUAAAUUCCCUAUCUUACUGUUGUACAAGGGUUAAAAAUUAAGUCAUAAGCAGCACUUAGAACCUACAUUUGGAAAAUGGGAAUCAGACUAGUCAAAAUACAUUAAACAAAGCAUUACAGAUUGAAAUAAGAAUCUAUUAACCAGGCAAUCAGAAAUUAACAUCAAAAAUUUUUUUAUGAGCUAUUCUACAAAACAGAGCCAUACUGAAGGCCCACUUUAGCUCACUCUGUCCUCAAACCGUAAAAUUCUGCUGGUGCCCAACUAAGGUACUGGGCAAAGUGAAGCAAGAUAUGACUUGAAACCUGGUUCCAAGGGGGUUUAGAACAUAAUUAAAUAAGUAAUUUUAUAUAAAUAAUCUUUUAGCAUCUUCAGGUGCCCAGAUAUUGCAAAACUAGGAAAUUUCUGCGAAUAAAAUUGCACAGUUGUGUGAAGCGGAAUCUCAUCAUAUCAUUAGGUUCUUUAAAGUUUUUAGAUGAACUUUAAACACUAAUCCUCCUUAAGUAUUCCUCAGAACCUUUUCUGAUUAACUGCUAAAUUAGCAGGCGUUUAGAAGACCCGUUUAAGCCUAACCCUAGCCCAAUAAUGCCUAGUGAAUGAAUAACGAAUAAGACUUACCUGUAGGUCAC
rnacentral:lncRNA from 10 species